AGCGAACGCUGGCGGCAGGCUUAACACAUGCAAGUCGAGCGGGCACUCUCGGGUGUCAGCGGCGGACGGGUGGGUAACGCGUGGGAACGUGCCCUCUGGUUCGGAAUAACUCAGGGAAACUUGAGCUAAUACCGGAUACGCCCUUUUGGGGAAAGGCUUGCUGCCGGAGGAUCGGCCCGCGUCUGAUUAGCUAGUUGGUGGGGUAACGGCUCACCAAGGCGACGAUCAGUAGCUGGUCAGAGAGGAUGAUCAGCCACACUGGGACUGAGACACGGCCCAGACUCCUACGGGAGGCAGCAGUGGGGAAUAUUGGACAAUGGGCGCAAGCCUGAUCCAGCCAUGCCGCGUGAGUGAUGAAGGCCUUAGGGUUGUAAAGCUCUUUUAUCCGGGACGAUAAUGACGGUACCGGAGGAAUAAGCCCCGGCUAACUUCGUG
rnacentral:rRNA from 1 species